rnacentral:rRNA from 1 species
ACAGCAGCCGCCGCGGUAAUACGUAGGGUGCAAGCGUUAAUCGGAAUUACUGGGCGUAAAGCGUGCGCAGGCGGUUCGCUAAGACAGAUGUGAAAUCCCCGGGCUUAACCUGGGAACUGCAUUUGUGACUGGCGGGCUAGAGUAUGGCAGAGGGGGGUAGAAUUCCACGUGUAGCAGUGAAAUGCGUAGAGACGUGGAGGAAUACCGAUGGCGAAGGCAGCCCCCUGGGCCAAUACUGACGUUCAUACACGAAAGCGUGGGGAGCAAACAGGAUUAGAUACCCCUGUAGUCCCUGUCUCUUAUAC